CUCCACUGUGGAAUUCGCCCUUAGAGUUUGAUCAUGGCUCAGAUUGAACGCUGGCGGCAGGCUUAACACAUGCAAGUCGAGCGGGGGAAGGUAGCUUGCUACUGGACCUAGCGGCGGACGGGUGAGUAAUACUUAGGAAUCUGCCUAUUAGUGGGGGACAACGUUCCGAAAGGAGCGCUAAUACCGCAUACGCCCUACGGGGGAAAGCAGGGGAUCUUCGGACCUUGCGCUAAUAGAUGAGCCUAAGUCGGAUUAGCUAGUUGGUAGGGUAAAGGCUUACCAAGGCGACGAUCUGUAGCGGGUUU
rnacentral:rRNA from 1 species